rnacentral:rRNA from 1 species
AGAUAGAAACCGACCUGGCUUACACCGGUUUAAACUCAGAUCAUGUAAAAUUUUAAAGGUCGAACAGACCUGGCUCACUAGCUUCUACACCAACAAGCAACUUUUAAUCCAACAUCGAGGUCGCAAUCUUUUUAUUCGAUAAGAACUCUAUAAAAAAUAACGCUGUUAUCCCUGAGGUAAUUUAAUCUUAUAAUCUAAAAUUCAGGAUCAUCUACAUAUAAAUAAAUAUAACAAUAAAAGAAAAGUUAAUCCAAUUUUCCUAUCACCCCAACAAAAUAAAAACAAAAGCCUUUACUAAACUAUUCCUAAACAUAAAUUCAUCUGUAUUUAUAAAACUCUACAGGGUCUUCUCGUCUUCCAUGACAAUUUAAGCUUUUUAACUCAAAAAUAAAAUUUUAAUAAAUUUUUAAAGAGACAGCCAUUUUUUCAUUAAACCUUUCAUACAAGCUUCCAUUUAAAAAACUAAUGAUUAUGCUACCUUUGCACGGUCAAUAUACCGCGGCCAUUCAAUUAAUUCAGCGGGCAGGUCAGACCUGAAAUUAUAAUCAACAAGCCAUGUUUUUAAUAAC